rnacentral:rRNA from 1 species
UACGAAGGGGGCUAGCGUUGCUCGGAAUCACUGGGCGUAAAGCGCACGUAGGCGGACUCUUAAGUCGGUGGUGAAAUCCCCGGGCUCAACCUGGGAACUGCAUCCAAAACUGGCAAGCUAGAGUAGGGCAGAGGGUGGUGGAAUUUCCUGUGUAGCGGUGAAAUGCGUAGAUAUCGGAAGGAACAUCAGUGGCGAAAGCGGCUUCCUGGUCCCAGCACCGACGUUCAGGCACGAAAGCGUGGGGAGCAAACAGG